UACAGAGGCUGCAAGCGUUACUCGGAUUCACUGGGCGUAAAGGGAGCGCAGGCGGACCGGUGUGUCAGAUGUGAAACCCCAGGGCUCAACCUUGGGACUGCGUCUGAAACUGCCGGUCUAGGGACUCGGAGGGGCUAGUGGAAUUCCUGGUGGAGCAGUGAAAUGCGUAGAUAUCAGGAGGAACACCAACGGCGAAGGCAGCUAGCUGGACGAGAUCAGACGCUCAGGCUCGAAAGUAUGGGGAGCAAAAAGG
rnacentral:rRNA from 1 species